rnacentral:snoRNA from 1 species
AAGAGGAGAGUUUCCCGGGUGAUUUCUAUGUUUCGUUACUAGAGAAGUUUUUGUGAUUAUGUAGAGUAACUGAAACCAUGAGGAAGAGGUGCGGUGUCCUUUCUGAGCGUGAAGUUGGCUCUGGG